UACGUAGGGGGCAAGCGUUGUCCGGAAUCAUUGGGCGUAAAGAGCGUGUAGGCGGUCCGGUAAGUCGGCUGUGAAAGUCCAGGGCUCAACCCUGGGAUGCCGGUCGAUACUGCCGGACUAGAGUUCGGAAGAGGCGAGUGGAAUUCCUGGUGUAGCGGUGAAAUGCGCAGAUAUCGGGAGGAACACCUAUGGCGAAGGCAGCUCGCUGGGACGUUACUGACGCUGAGACGCGAAAGCGUGGGGAGCAAACAGG
rnacentral:rRNA from 1 species